GACGAACGCUGGCGGCGUGCUUAACACAUGCAAGUCGAACGGAAAGGCCCUGCUUUUGUGGGGUGCUCGAGUGGCGAACGGGUGAGUAACACGUGAGUAACCUGCCCUUGACUUUGGGAUAACUUCAGGAAACUGGGGCUAAUACCGGAUAGGAGCUCCUGCUGCACGGUGGGGGUUGGAAAGUUUCGGCGGUUGGGGAUGGACUCGCGGGUUAUCAGCUUGUUGGUGGGGUAGUGGCUUACCAAGGGUUUGACGGGUAGCCGGCCUGAGAGGGUGGCCGGCCACAAUGGGACUGAGGUACGGCGCAGACGCCUACGGGAGGCAGUAGUGGGGAAUAUUGCGCAAUGAGCGGGAGCCAGAGGCGACAGCCCCGCGUGCGGAAUGACGGGCUACGGGUGAUAAACCGCUGUCGACUGUGACGAAGCGUGAGUGACGGUAAUGGGUAAAAAAGCACCGGCUAACUACGUG
rnacentral:rRNA from 1 species